CAGGCCUAACACAUGCAAGUCGAGCGGUAACAGGGGAAGCUUGCUUCUCGCUGACGAGCGGCGGACGGGUGAGUAAUGUAUGGGGAUCUGCCCGAUAGAGGGGGAUAACUACUGGAAACGGUGGCUAAUACCGCAUAAUCUCUUAGGAGCAAAGCAGGGGAACUUCGGUCCUUGCGCUAUCGGAUGAACCCAUAUGGGAUUAGCUAGUAGGUGGGGUAAUGGCUCACCUAGGCAACGAUCCGUAGCCGGUCUGAGAGGAUGAUCAGCCACAUCGGGACUGAGACACGGCCCGAACUCCUACGGGAGGCAGCAGUGGGGAAUAUUGGACAAUGGGCGAAAGCCUGAUCCAGCCAUGCCGCGUGUGUGAAGAAGGCCUUCGGGUUGUAAAGCACUUUCAGCGAGGAAGAACGCCUAGUGGUUAAUACCCAUUAGGAAAGACAUCACUCGCAGAAGAAGCACCGGCUAACUCCGUGCCAGCAGCCGCGGUAAUACGGAGGGUGCAAGCGUUAAUCGGAAUUACUGGGCGUAAAGCGCGCGUAGGUGGCUUGAUAAGCCGGUUGUGAAAGCCCCGGGCUCAACCUGGGAACGGCAUCCGGAACUGUCAAGCUAGAGUGCAGGAGAGGAAGGUAGAAUUCCCGGUGUAGCGGUGAAAUGCGUAGAGAUCGGGAGGAAUACCAGUGGCGAAGGCGGCCUUCUGGACUGACACUGACACUGAGGUGCGAAAGCGUGGGUAGCAAACAGGAUUAGAUACCCUGGUAGUCCACGCCGUAAACGAUGUCGACCAGCCGUUGGGUGCCUAGCGCACUUUGUGGCGAAGUUAACGCGAUAAGUCGACCGCCUGGGGAGUACGGCCGCAAGGUUAAAAC
rnacentral:rRNA from 1 species